UACGUAGGGUGCGAGCGUUGUCCGGAAUUACUGGGCGUAAAGAGCUCGUAGGUGGUUUGUCGCGUUGUCCGUGAAAACUCACAACUCAAUUGUGGGCGUGCGGGCGAUACGGGCAGACUGGAGUACUGCAGGGGAGACUGGAAUUCCUGGUGUAGCGGUGGAAUGCGCAGAUAUCGAGAGGAACACCUGCGGCGAAGGCGGGUUGCUGGGCUGACACUGACGCUGAGGCGCGAAAGCUAGGGGAGCGAACGGG
rnacentral:rRNA from 1 species